rnacentral:misc_RNA from 1 species
UGUAAAGGUGCAUGAGUGGUGUUUGGUUUGUUACGGGUGGUUGGCUAUUUGCUUGCGCAACAACUUCUACCUGGCAUACCUCUUCAGUCUUGUGUCAAUGCUUUUAUUGCAUUGAAUGCAUGAUGGGUUUCUUGUGUUGCAUGCCUAAUUAAUGGUAUCACUUGAUGAAUUGGUUUUCCUUUCGUCUGGCAUUGCCUAUGCGAUGUGAGAUGAACCUUGAAGCAGCCUUUGUGAUCCACUCUUUUGAUGCAUACGCAUUGAUUUUGUGGCUCAUUGAGUGUUGCUCGGUCUCAUGGAUACGGAACCUGGUGUGGGCAUGGAAUCUUAAUGGUUCCUUGUUUGCCCAAGUUUAGCUUUUCUAAAACGAUUGUCU